rnacentral:rRNA from 1 species
GACGUAGGGGGCGAGCGUUUGUCCGGAUUAUUGGGCGUAAAGCGUGCGUAGGCGGCUGCGCAAGUCGGUUGUGAAACCCCGGGGCUCAACCCCGGAACUGCAUCCGAUACUGCGUGGCUAGAGGUAGGUAGGGGAGAUCGGAACUCCUGGUGUAGCGGUGAAAUGCGCAGAUAUCAGGAGGAACACCGGUGGCGAAGGCGGAUCUCUGGGCCUUACCUGACGCUCAGGCACGAAAGCUAGGGGAGCGAACAGG